GACUCCAGGGUAGGAGUGGGGGGCAGGCCAACUUCCGGGUGCAUAAAGUUCACAGAGGGCGUGGGGGGCGUCUCACAGGGGGCCCGGAGUUGCCUACCUUCCCGCUCUUCACGUUCUCCGCGCAGGCCUUGACGUACAUAGGCAUGGCCAUCACCACCUCCAGCCAGGCCUGGACGGUGCCCGCCUUCCAGUGGGACAUAGGGGUGGUCCUCACCAGCUCCACCUGCUGCAGCCGGUCCAUCUGCUCCUCGCCUUCCGACAGGCUGAGGCUCUGCCUCGUGGGGCUGCACUGGCUGUCCGAGUCUGCAACACACAAGUGCAGGCCAUGUUGGGGGAUGAGGUUGCUGGGGGGCAGGGGCUAGGCAGGCCGCACCCCCGGGAGGCAGAGGACGGUGGGGACGUCCUCCCGCCAUGCAUUUCUUCUUUCAAAAUCAAAGUGGUUUUGGUGUUUUUGUUUUUCUGCCCUUGUCCCCAUUACAAAAGUAAUCUAUGAAAAGAAAAGCAGAAAAGCUUAUCCCAGAAAAAAAAUAAAACAGAAAAUGACGAUCACCCCAUGUGACUGUGAAAGGAAAACAGAUCUUGGGACCCCAAACUCAUCAAACCACAGGGAAAAGUCAAGCUGGGAACUGGGUCACACAAACCUGCCUCCCCAUUUUGGUUCCUAAAUAAGAUGGCUACAAGAUAAACAGCUGCACACCUCCCUCAGAUUUUGCCCACAAAGAAAUUCCUAGUGAGCUUCGAGAUAUUUACCCUAAAGCAUUUCUGUUAAAAUUCACCAUGGCAAUAUAAAUGGAUAGCUUAUCUUUACACAGUAUUCACCCCUCUGCUCACCUGGCACAAAUGCAUAUCUGAUUAUUCCCCUGUCCCAUUUAUCUUUAUCUUAUGUAAAAACGUCAAUUCCCUGCAUUUUCUGCAUCUGUCUAUGUUACCUUAUGUAAAAAUGCAGAUUCACUGGGCCAGACAAAGGCAUGAAUGAUUAUUUCCCCCAACCCCCUCUUACAUGAAACUGUAUACUUCUCAAUAUCCUUUCCCCUUUAAAUUUGGAGCCCACAAAAUCAUCUUCAGAGAAAGGCAUAGACCUGUCUGCCGGGCGCGCGUCCUUAACUUUGAUAAAUACACCUCCUAAAAUGACUGAGACUUGUCUCAUCCUUUUUCUCGAUCGACACCACCUAGAGACAGUAGCUGUUAAAUACUCUUUGGGAUACAGAAAAGCCAUACUUACAAACACACACAGACCCGCUUGCUUCCGGGGUGCGUGCAUUUGAGGUGUGUGCAUUUGUGAUAUGCCUGUUCACUUUCGCUGUGGAAGAGAUCGUUCCAUCUCCAUAGAGACCUGCAGUACCUUUGGACGGUGCAGGAUUCAUCAGAAGGAGGCUCCAUAAUUUAUGUCACCUGCCUCCUACUGAUGGACAUGGAGGUUGUUUCCAAUUUUUCACUAUUGUAAACAACACAGCGGCCGUCGUCUUUGGGCAACUGGGUGAUUUAUUUUUGUAGGAUAAAUGGAACCCAGCUCCAUUCCUUCAUACGCUGAAAGCUGUUUCUGGAAUGGCCCUCACAGACCAAAAAAAAAAAAA
rnacentral:lncRNA from 1 species